rnacentral:rRNA from 1 species
UACGUAGGGGGGCGAGCGUUGUCCCGAAGUUACUGGGCGAAAGCGCGCGUAGGCGGGUUGGCAAGUCUGCUGUGAAAGCCCGGGGCUUAACUCCGGAGGGUCGGUGGAUACUGCCAGUCUUGAAGGUGCUAGGGGAGAGAUGGAAUUACCCGGUGUAGCGGUGAAAAUGCGUAGAUAUCGGUAGGAACACCAGUGGCGAAGGCGGUCUCUUUGGGGGCAUUUCUUUGACGCUGAG